UACGGAGGGUGCAAGCGUUAUCCGGAUUUACUGGGUUUAAAGGGUGCGUAGGUGGGUUGGUAAGUCAGUGGUGAAAUACUUUCGCUUAACGAAGGAACUGCCAUUGAUACUAUCAAUCUUGAAUGUAGUGGAGGUAAGCGGAAUGCGUCAUGUAGCGGUGAAAUGCUUAGAUAUGACGCAGAACACCAAUUGCGAAGGCAGCUUGCUACACUACUAUUGACACUGAGGCACGAAAGCGUGGGGAUCAAACAGG
rnacentral:rRNA from 1 species